rnacentral:rRNA from 1 species
GAGAGUUAAACAGUACGUGAAAUUGUUGAAAGGGAAACGAUUGAAGCCAGUCGUACCUUCGGGUAAUCAGCCUUUUGGGUGUGAUUUUGUGGAGCGUGAAGAGUUAAACGCCUUCAUGCCUGCAUAUUCGUGCACUUUGGGUGUACUUGCCCGUAUGGUUGGUUAACAUCAAUUUUGGUGGUCAUAAAAUGACUGGAGGAAUGUAGCUUCGAUCUUGUAUUGAAGUGUUAUAGCCUUCGGUAGAUGUGAUGAUCGAGAUUGAGGAUUGCAACGGAUACCCUUCGGGGCUACCUGUCUGGUCUCUGAUCGUUGCUCUGGUGCCGAAAGCUUGCUUACGGUUAUCAAAGUCGAUGGUCAAUAGGUUAGAACGGGUUAAAUUCGUUAAGGAUGUUGACGUAAUGGCUUUAAACGA